rnacentral:lncRNA from 1 species
CUCGGAGAGAAUCACACAGUGAAAAACAGGAAACCAGUGUACGUCACAUCCAGUCUCCCUUUCCCGUGAGAAACUCCAACAGUACAGACUGUGGAAUGUAAACACCUGUCUCAUGACAAGCAGUUGCUGCUCAGUGAAGGAAAUAGAAACCAACAUCCUCCCCCUUUCUGUGAACAUCACUGGGCAGCGUGUUCGUACAGUAUCAGUACAAACCCAACUUCUGCACAUAGGUACAGUGUUGAUCCCUUGAUACAAUCUUGGACAAUACAUCAGCAGGAAUUUCAUUACCUGGCAUAUAGGACACCGUUACGAGUCCCUUCUGAAUACAUUCCCUAGCAUGCUGCAACUUUAAUUGCAAGUGCUUUGUGCUUUGCUUACAACCUUCAGACUUCAGCAAAGCCAAACAUGCUUUGUUGUCCUGGUAAACCUGGAUUGGACAUUUGACAGGAAUUUUCAUAUCUUUGCACAAUUGUACUAACCAUUCACAAUCCUUAAGUGAAUAAGACAGUGCAUUCAGUUCAGCUUCACAAGUACUUAAGCUAACUGUUGUUUGCUUCUUGCAUGACCAAUCAAACAGACUCUGAUUGUACAUAUAGCAAACUCCAGACGUACUUUUCCUGUCUGUAGCGUCACUUCCAAAACUUGCAUCUGCAAAUAUCUCAAGACCACCAGACUUCUGAUUGUUAAAUCUCAGUCUGUAAUGCAUAGUGCCUUUCAAAUACCGCGCUAUGCGUUUCAGAGCUUUCCAAUCCUUGACACUAGGAUUGUUGACUUGUCUGCUUAGCAAAUUACAGCUAACAGCAAUGUCUGGUCUUGAACAUCUGGCAAUGAAGUUUAGCUUGCCUAGCACACUCCUGUACAGUGUAGUGUCAGAAAAUGCUUCUGCAGUGUCAUCUACCUGAUAACCUGUUGUCAUCGGUGUGUCUACAGGGUUAGCAUCCAUCAGAUUUAGUUUGCUUAACACAUCAGCAAUUUUCCGUGACUGGUGUACUAGAAUGUUACCAUCUUGAUCUCUCUCUAUUUCCAGAGAUAGGUAGUUGUUUACCUCACCAAGAUCUUUCAUGUCAAAGUGCUCUUUCAGUUGAGCUAGGGCGCUAUUGUACAUUGCGACAUCUUUCCAAAAGAAUAAUAAAUCAUCAACAUAAAACAAACAGUACAGUUUCUUUUGCCCCUCCUCUUUGACAAAUACACAUGGAUCAGCUUUCCCUUGCUGAAAACCUAGAGAAAACAAUACUUCAGUGAGUUUUGUGUGCCAACACCGUGCACUUUGUUUGAGACCAUAAAGGGAUUUCUUCAGAGCACAAACAAAUCCCUGUUUUACCUGUACGCCAUCAGGUGGAAGCAUAUAAAGUGAUUCAUCUAGAGAUCCGUACAGAAAAGCUGUAUUAAUAUCAUGGUGACUAAUGUGUAGAUUUUCCUCUGCAGCUAGCUUGAGCAUAAGCCUAAUGCUUUCAUAUCUCACUGUGGGUGAAUAGGUCUCGUGAUAGUCUUCACCUGGUACCUGUGCAAAACCUCUGGCUACCAAUCUGGCUUUGUGUCUGACUAUCUUGCCAUUUUGAUCUGUCUUCGCUUUGAAGACCCAUUUGCUUCCAAGCAGUUUCAUUCCUGGAACUACUGGAACUAGCUCCCAUGUUUUGUUCCUUUCUAAGGAAUCAAGCUCAGCCUUCAUGGCAUUUAACCAUGGCUCAGCUUCCUUUGAAUCCAAACCCUGGAUUUCUUGGAAACUUGAAGGUUCAAAUACCUUCUUGGAGCUUUUAACAGCUGUUACUGCUAUCUUAGCAAACUCAUCAGCAAAUCUCUUUGGAGGUUUGCCUUUGUGGCUCUCUGUGACCUACGAAUUAGCCUUAAGUCUUCAACACUCUCCUCUUCCUUCUUAGGAGAAAAACGACCUAUUGUGAACAAUGGUUCCUCCAAUUCUUGAUCAGAGCUUUCAGAGGGUCGCAUAGAGGCUUUCGCACUCUUGAAAUCCUCUGAAUCACCCGAUUCAGUUUCAGAUUCAGACUCAGAACCUUCAUCAGAGGGUGUGGGUUGGUGUUGUUGCUAUUUUCUAUCCUCAGUCUCAUCACCGUCAUCAGGAUAACAUUGGAAAAUUCCCACAUUCUCCCCCACUUUGCAUUGUACUCAACACUUCUCGUGAGCAUAAUUGUCUUAGAGUCAGUCAUCAUUAUUCUGUAAGACCCUUUCUGAUAACCUAGAAAGAUACCAUGCAAUCCACGCUUGUCUAACUUGGAGUUUUGUGGUGAGCGAACCCACAUGUCAGAACCAAAAUCUUCAUGUGUUUGAUGUAUGGCUUCUUGCCAAACAUCUUCUCAUAGGGGUACAACCAAUCGCUGAAGAUAACCUGCGAUUGUAACUGUAAACAAAACACAGAGAGAUUCGGCCCAAUAACUCUCUGGAAGAUUGGCAUCAUGCAGCAAGGUUUUUAACCCUUGAAGCAAAGUCUGAUUUGCCCGUUCCGCAAGUCCAUUCUGCCAUGGCGAGCGAGGACUAGACAAAUCGUGUUGAAUUCCUUUCUCAGUCAGAAAAGCUUCAAACUGCUGAGAAGUGAAUUCCCCCCCGCGAUCACUGAAAAGAGUCUUUAUCUUCUUACCAUGCACAUUUUCCAACCAAGCACAGAAUUCCUUGAACCUAGGAAAAGCCUCCGAUUUCUGCUUGAGAUUGUACACAAAAAUAUAUCUAGAAAAUGCAUCAAUGAGAACCAUGAAGUAUCUAUUUCCACCCAAAGAGGGCGCUAGUGGUCCAACCAAAUCAGCAUGAACAACCUGGUAUGGUUCUGUAGCUUUCCUACUAGACACCUUACCUUUCGCAGCCAUUUUCACCUUGUUUGCUGCGCAUGCUUUGCACUUCAUGUGGUACCUGCAGGGUUUAAUAGUCAUACCUUCAACCAAGGCAGGCAUUUUAGAUACUGCCUCAAAAUGCAAAUGACCAUAUUUUCGAUGAAAAUCGUGAAUACAUUCUGCAUGCAAACUUUUGUUAGAACCUGCAAUGCAACAAGUGUCAUCCUGCACCACAUCAUCAUAAUACAAAACAAACAAACGAUCAACAUAUUCUGCAUGCAAUACAUAAUCAUUUUUCUUUGUGAUGAUGCACUUCUUGUUCUUGAAGGAAACGUCAAUGUUCCGCUCAUUCAGCUGUCCAACGCUGAGCAGAUUAUGUUUGGCGUCUGGCACGUAAAGCAC